UGGGGAAUAUUGGACAAUGGGGGGAACCCUGAUCCAGCCAUGGCGCGUGUGUGAAGAAGGCCUUAUGGUUGUAAAGCACUUUAAGCGAGGAGGAGGGUACUGGUAUUAAUACUACCAGCUACUGGACGUUACUCGCAGAAUAAGCACCGGCUAACUCUGUGCCAGCAGCCGCGGUAAUACAGAGGGUGCGAGCGUUAAUCGGAUUUACUGGGCGUAAAGCGUGCGUAGGCGGCUAAUUGAGUCGGAUGUGAAAUCCCCGAGCUUAACUUGGGAAUUGCAUUCGAUACUGGUUAGCUAGAGUGUGGGAGAGGAUGGUAGAAUUCCAGGUGUAGCGGUGAAAUGCGUAGAGAUCUGGAGGAAUACCGAUGGCGAAGGCAGCCAUCUGGCCUAACACUGACGCUGAGGUACGAAAGCAUGGGGAGCAAACAGG
rnacentral:rRNA from 1 species